rnacentral:rRNA from 1 species
GUCUAUGGCCAUGCUACCCUGAACAAACCCGAUCCUGUCUGAUCUCAGAAGCUAAGCAGAGUUGGGCCUGGUUAAUACUUGGAUGGGAGACCACCUAAGAAGACCAGAUUUAAAAAAAA